rnacentral:rRNA from 1 species
AACGAACGCUGGCGGCAGGCCUAACACAUGCAAGUCGAGCGCCCAGCAAUGGGAGCGGCGCACGGGUGAGUAACACGUGGGAACGUGCCCUAUGGUUCGGAAUAACUCAGGGAAACUUGAGCUAAUACCGGAUAAGCCCUACGGGGGAAAGAUUUAUCGCCAUUGGAGCGGCCCGCGUUGGAUUAGCUAGUUGGUGGGGUAAUAGCCUACCAAGGCAACGAUCCAUAGCUGGUUUGAGAGAACGACCAGCCACACUGGGACUGAGACACGGCCAAGACUCCGACGGGAGGCAGCAGUGGGGAAUCUUGGACAAUGGGGGCAACCCUGAUCCAGCCAUGCCGCGUGAAUGAUGAAGGCCUUCGGGUUGUAAAACUCUUUCGCACGCGACGAUAAUGACGGUAGCGUGAGAAGAAGCUCCGGCUAACUUCGUGCCAGCAGCCGCCGUAACAC